CGGUGGUGGAGAGUUGUACGUGGGUUUUAUGAGCUCUUCAGUGAGUGGUUUUGGUUUUAACAGGCUUGUAUUUGAGAAGCAGCAGCGAGCCGUAGCAUUCCGUGAGGAGGAGGAUCAAAGUGCUCCUGGAGACAAUUAGUCUCCUUCACAAACAGGUAGCGGCCUUCAUCGUCUGAAUUUUAAAUUGGAAAAAAUAUAUUGAAGUGUCUACAUUAGUAUUUGUUAUUAGUCCAAUUUUUUAAUAAAUCUACAUCCACAUGGAGACCUGCCCGUCCGAAUACUGCGGCUCAACAACCAAAUAAUCAGCAGAAACGAUGAGGCAUAGACAGUGUCACAUGUGCCUAUGAUUCCUGACAUGUGAACAUACAAUAUGGGGGAUGAAACGUCGCUGGGGGAUGUGUCACCGAUUUGUACGAUGUGUUUCAUAACAUGUUGACUCAGUGAGAAUGUGGUUUUGUAAGUGGCGCUCAGAGUGUAAAUAUGAUGUCAGUCAGUCUCUGUUGUCCCACUGUGCGCUCAGUAUUCAGGGAAUGAUAAGAGACGAUGUGGUUCUGAUGGGGUCCUCAACGUUUCUGGAUUCUGAUUCCGUAAAAUGAAGCAAUGUUCGGGACCCCAACUUCCACUCAGUUAUGAUCUUUGCCAUUUGGACAGUUUUUAAACGUGAAUGUGAUAGAUUACAAAGUAUUUUAUUAGAAUGAAUAUAAAACACCGUCCUGCAUGCCUCCACCAACUCUUGCAGUUUCAGUCUACAGACUCCUGAAGCCACCGUGACCUUUGACCUCUAACCUUUGACCAGCAAAAUGUAUUCAGUUCAUCUUUGAGUCAAACUGAACUGUUGAGUUAAAACUCAAAGCAGGAGACGGAAAUAAGAAUCAAACAUCAUCUUUAAACCAGAUUAACACAAACACAGUCUAUGAGCGCAAAGGAGCCGCCUGGAACUUAAGUUUCACUUUUGGUCGCGGUUCCUGGCGGAGCUAUUUGAUCGGCGCACCGCUGAGGAGAAGGAAAUAAACAACAACAAAUCACCGGAUCAUUAAGAAAAGUGAAAAGACAUGUGGGGACAUUUGGCGUCUCAGCAGGAAGACAAAGCAGAAGACAGCCUUCACCUGGCUGCUCAACCAAAGACACUACUGUGAUGCAUCAACUUACCAUCUAACAGCAGUUGGCAGCUUCCUUUCUUCUGCGCGUCACCAUAUGGAAUAAUGGUUACAACCACGAAUGGUUUCUCAGAUGGAGGCACGGUUGUGGUGAACGUCACCGUCUCUCCGAC